rfam:Salmo salar isolate Sally breed double haploid chromosome ssa20, whole genome shotgun sequence.
UGCACUCACUACUGUAAGUCACUCUGGAUAAGAGCGUCAGCUAAAUGACUAAAA